rnacentral:rRNA from 1 species
GAUGAACGCUGGCGGCGUGCCUAAUACAUGCAAGUCGAGCGAACAGACGAGGAGCUUGCUCCUCUGAUGUUAGCGGCGGACGGGUGAGUAACACGUGGAUAACCUACCUAUAAGACUGGGAUAACUUCGGGAAGCCGGAGCUAAUACCGGAUAACAUGUUGAACCGCAUGGUUCAACAGUGAAAGACGGUCUUGCUGUCACUUAUAGAUGGAUCCGCGCCGCAUUAGCUAGUUGGUAAGGUAACGGCUUACCAAGGCAACGAUGCGUAGCCGACCUGAGAGGGUGAUCGGCCACACUGGAACUGAGACACGGUCCAGACUCCUACGGGAGGCAGCAGUAGGGAAUCUUCCGCAAUGGGCGAAAGCCUGACGGAGCAACGCCGCGUGAGUGAAGAAGGUCUUCGGAUCGUAAAACUCUGUUAUUAGGGAAGAACAAAUGUGUAAGUAACUAUGCACGUCUUGACGGUACCUAAUCAGAAAGCCACGGCUAACUACGUG